rnacentral:lncRNA from 1 species
CCAACUCAUAGUUAUGUAGCCAUUAUCAUUAUUUACUAAUACUUCUGCUUUAUAUCUUAAUUACUUUCCCCUAGUCUUACACGAACGGCAGCCUCUUGAGUUUGUAAUGUUAAUGUAAUUGUUUCGAACCAAAUACCAUUUAGCGAUGACUACUCAAAUCUAAAACUCUCUUUAUAUUUCGUUUCGUUUCCAUCAACCAAAUUGUUUGUACCUAGCGAUUUUGCCAUUGUCUAUGCGUAGAGGUGCAUGUCUCUAGCUAGUUAUUUUAAUAUUUUGCUAGCUACCGUUUUUUCUGCUUUUAGUGCUUGUGUUUUUUUCAGUAUUAAAUCUAAAUUUAACUUUCAACCUUAAUAGUUGUGGAAAUUACUCACACACUGACAAAAACACACAC